AACAUCAAAUACAAUGGAUAACUGUUUAAAUGUUUAUUACGAACUAGAAAAUUACCAGAAAAAAAAAAAAAAAAAACCUGCAACAUAGCCUUUAAGGAACGAGUCAAACUCGACCCGAAAGACUCAUGAGAUGAACUAAUCAAUUCUCUUUCCGGCUCAAGACCGCGGUAGUUUUGCGUAUGGGGCUGUCACGUGAUUAAGGAAUGACUUAAACCCGAAGACUUCUUGUCAGAUAAGAGGUGAGAUGAGCUAAUCACAGACUGAAGACCCAGUUUGUUCUGGAAGGGCAAACGUUUAGUGAGCGAAAAAAUACAAACUGCACGAAAAAGGUGGAUCGCUUUACGGCAAGAACAACUCAUUACGACAGUGGAACUGGAGUUUUUGAGGGUUGAGAUGAGGUCAGAGACGCUCCAAACUCCAAACUCCAAACCAAAGAGCAGCUCUGUUCUGUGUGACUGAAGUGUGAGAGAAUGAGAGAGUCACUUGCUAAACCGCUCAUGUCUCUUCAACAAACCUGGGUCCAGCAGAGAAGGGCACAAAAGCAUGCGGUGAUCUCUCAGCAACAUUCUCCGGAAGAAACCUUGACGGAUCAAACACCUGUGCACAACACAACGUAUUAAAUACAUUUAAAAGAAACACACCUGAGACAAAAAUAAUUAUGUUCAUGAAAUUAAAUCAUCAAACACUGAUGGCAAUUGUUACCUUCAAGACCUAUUUCUACUUGAUUUAAGUCAUAUAAUUUGGGUUAUUUCUGACUUGAAUAAAAGCAGUUUAUGUUCUUAUUUCAGUGGCUUUUUAAAAACUUUUAUAUGUACAAAUAUUAUAAUACUUCAUAAUAUUAUGAAGUCUUAUAAUAUUGUCUUCUGUUAAGGAAUAUUACCAACAUAAAAUAGAAGGUUUAUGGUUAAAAUAUGGCCUUGAUCAUAACCACAUAUAAUAUAUUAUUAAUUUUUUUUGCACAUGUGUAUUUUGAUUUUUUUUAUAACAGGUCCGAAAUGAUGAGAACAAAAUAAUAUUUACAUUAGCAAAUAAUUUAAGGUUUAGAUAUUUUUAUUAGAUUAAAUCUAUGAAAAGAUUAAUACAAAAUGUUUAUGGUUAUUAUAGAAUUGGUUAUGAUUUCAUUAUUUCUAAAGAACUAGUCAGAUGUGAGUAAAUGAUUGUCAAAUGAUUUUAAAUCAAACUGGAAAACACGAUCAUCAGGUUUUGUUAAUGCAGCUCCGGUGCAUUCAUAUAAAUUAAAAACACAGUGAAUGCUAAGAAAUUAGUUCUAUUUUUGUUCAUUUUCACUUACAAAAAAAAAAUAUAUAUAUAUAUAUAUUGGUAUAUCAUGGCAAAUGGUACACCUUCACAACUUUGGA